AGAACCUUAACUAGUUAGGCUUGAGAACAAAAGCUUAAAAUUCUUUUGAAUCACACAGGAGUGUUGGCUUUUAAGACAUUACAGCCAAGAGAUUAUUGCUGUUUUCGAUCCAAAGUCUAGUUACUAUCUUGUUAUUGGAAGAUGAAUAGGUCCAGGAGACAAGCACUGUACAGUGCAAGGACAGUACAAAAAUUCAUAGAACAUCAAAAAGAAAAUUCCAAGAUUCACCCUCGUGCUCAAUUUUCAGGAGUAUCAGAGCGGAUGGUGGGUUUCUGAGGUUUGCCAUCAGCCCAUUUGGAGAUG
rnacentral:misc_RNA from 1 species